CUUGUGUUUCAUAUAAAGCUUUAUUUGUCAUUCACGGCUGGUUGGCAAAACUGACUUUGCUUUUGAAAAUGACAGGUGGUACUCUGGUGAGCUCUGUAUGGAAAAAGAAACAACCUUCACCAAGACAGUUUCUGUCAAUAGCUUCCAUGAUUUAGUAUUCAAUCUGGGCUUGUGUUUCUUCUAAAGUUCUGUUUCAUUUGCAUCUCUUAGGUCUGGCAUCACCAAGGCUCUGUAAUAAUUGGGAUUCUAUACCACAUGGCUGGAAAGGCAGGCUUCCUCUCGUCUCUGCAGGCCUGAUUAAAAGACAGUGUCCAGUGAUUUGUUCCUGGAAGUUGAUUUACCGCAGAUCUGACCUCCG
rnacentral:lncRNA from 1 species